UGAGUGAACUAUGGUUAAGGAACUCGGCAAAAUGCAUGCGUAACUUCGGGAUAAGCAUGACCCCGUUAGGGUGAAGAGACUUGCUCUCCGAGCUCGAAGGGGUGGCACAGAAUUGGGGGAAGCGACUGUUUACUAAAAACACAGCAGCGUGCGAAGCCGUAAGGCGCUGUAUACGCUGUGACGCCUGCCCGGUGCUGGAAGGUCACGGGGAAGGGUUAGCCCUUGAGGCGAAGCUCUGAACCUAAGCCCCAGUAAACGGCGGCCGUAACUAUAACGGUCCUAAGGUAGCGAAAUUCCUUGUCGGGUAAGUUCCGACCUGCACGAAUGGCGUAACGACUUCCCUACUGUCUCAACCAUAGACUCAGCGAAAUUGAAGUACGAGUAAAGAUGCUCGUUAGCUGUAGAAGGACGGAAAGACCCCGUGGACCUUUACUAUAGCUUGGUAUUGAGUUUUGUUAUGCAUUGUGUAGGAUAGGUGGGAGGCUAGGAAGCAUGCACGCCAGUGUGUGUGGAGCCAUCCUUGAAAUACCACCCUGUGUAUGGCGAGACUCUAACCUAGGACCGUUAUCCGGUCCGGGAACAGUGCCAGGUGGGUAGUUUGACUGGGGCGGUCGCCUCCUAAAAUGUAACGGAGGCGCCCAAAGGUUCCCUCAGGCUGGUUGGCAAUCAGCCGUCGAGUGCAAUGGCACAAGGGAGCUUGACUGCGAGACGUACAUGUCGAGCAGGUGCGAAAGCAGGGCAUAGUGAUCCGGCGGUAGCGUGUGGAAGCGCCGUCGCUCAACGGAUAAAAGGUACCCCGGGGAUAACAGGCUAAUCUUCCCCAAGAGUCCAUAUCGACGGGAAGGUUUGGCACCUCGAUGUCGGCUCAUCGCAUCCUGGGGCUGAAGCAGGUCCCAAGGGUUGGGCUGUUCGCCCAUUAAAGCGGUACGCGAGCUGGGUUUAGAACGUCGCGAGACAGUUCGGUCCCUAUCCUCUACAGCCGGAAGUGACUUGAGAAAAGCUAUCCCUAGUACGAGAGGACCGGGAUGGACGCAGCUCUCGUGUGCCAGUUGUUCUGCCAAGAGCAUGGCUGGUUAGCGACCUGCGGAAGAGAUAACCGCUGAAAGCAUCUAAGUGGGAAGCUCCUUUCAAGAUGAGGUCACUCACAGGGUUAACCUGGUAAGGCCCGUGGUAGACGACCACGUUGAUAGGCCGGAAGUGUAAGCGUGGUAACACGUUCAGCUGACCGGUACUAAUCGGCCGAGGGCUUUGGCC
rnacentral:rRNA from 1 species